CUAUGCUUAAAUGAUUGGGCAU
rnacentral:siRNA from 1 species